rnacentral:rRNA from 1 species
GACGAACGCUGGCGGCGUGCUUAACACAUGCAAGUCGAACGGAAAGGCCCUGCUUUUGUGGGGUGCUCGAGUGGCGAACGGGUGAGUAACACGUGAGUAACCUGCCCUUGACUUUGGGAUAACUUCAGGAAACUGGGGCUAAUACCGGAUAGGAGCUCCUGCUGCAUGGUGGGGGUUGGAAAGUUUCGGCGGUUGGGGAUGGACUCGCGGCUUAUCAGCGUGUUGGUGGGGUAGUGGCUUACCAAGGCUUUGACGGGUAGCCGGCCUGAGAGGGUGACCGGCCUCAUUGGGACUGAGAUACGGCCCAGACUCCUACGGGAGGCAGCAGUGGGGAAUAUUGCACAAUGGGCGGAAGCCUGAUGCAGCAACGCCGCGUGCGGGAUGACGGCCUUCGGGUUGUAAACCGCUUUCGCCUGUGACGAAGCGUGAGUGACGGUAAUGGGUAAAGAAGCACCGGCUAACUACGUG